GAUUCUUUUCUCGAAUGUGCCUUUUUUUAAUAUUUCCACAACUACAAGCGGAUGAUGUCCAAUUUAUAUUUAUAGCCAGACUUUGAUCUUUUGUAGGUGAAAGGCCUUACUGGUGCAGCCAGUGUAAUUUGGGCUUCAUUCAGAAAUAUCGUUUUCGAAACCACAGAGUGACCUACCAUGGAGAAACACAGGGAAGCUUUUACCAGGAUCUAGCUAAAAAACGCAAGACACGAUCUGACAGUGGAGAGAAGCCAACACAGAGUGAGCCCUGCAAACAGACAUUUUCAGAGAGCACUGCGGCUUUUCUGGAGCCCUCCGUUCCCAAGGAAGAAAAUGCCACCUCAAAAACCAGAGGUAAAAGAACACUGUUUUUCUCCCCUUUAAAAAGAUGCUCAGGACUGCCCAGAGUGAAGAAAGAUUUCUUUGCUUAGUUUUACCUGAAGACACCCUGCAAUUUGAAUAAAUGGCAAGAGCAUCUGUCAUUUUA
ensembl:lncRNA